AACGCACAUUGCGCCCAUUGGUAUUCCGAUGGGCAUGCCUGUUCGAGCGUCAUUAUCCUCCCUCAAACCUCGGGUUUGGUGUUGGACCCAAGUUGUCCCCCCGCGGACAACUGGUCUCAAAGACAAUGACGGCGUCCGUGGGACCCUCGGUGCAACGAGCUUUUAUUAGCACGCGUCGAGUUUCAAGGUCCCUCCGGGCCGGUCUAACCCUUUUUAUUUUACAAGGUUGACCUCGGAUCAGGUAGGAAUACCCGCUGAACUUAA
rnacentral:misc_RNA from 1 species